UUCUAAGGCCAUACUACCCUGAAUGUGCCCGAUCUUGUCUGCUUUUGGAAGCUAAGCUGGGUUGGGUCUGGUUAGUAAUUGGAUGGGAGAAAUUACCAUUCACUUUUAAAU
ensembl:rRNA 5S_rRNA 5S ribosomal RNA